CGCCUUAUUUUUUAAUUUUAAUUUCUAUCGUUCUUCUAUCAUCUUCGUUAUUAUUCUUAGUUCGGGUCCACUUCGACGACCAAUUUUCCCAGCGUUUUCUGCUAUUUUGAUUUCUACAAAAUCUUUGCUACCUUGCAACUGAUUUUCCUCACUCGUUCAACCUAAAUACACAUCCCUCGCCUAAUUUCAACCAUUCCACAAAAUCCUAUUCAAUCAAUUUCAAAACCCUAACCCAUUCCAUGGCGUCCAAGAAGCAAUCGGAAGGAAUCGCCUUGUUGUCCUUGUACAACGACGAUGGUGACGACGAAAUGGAGGACAUCGAAGACGAAGACGAAGAAGAAGAUGAAGACGUGAUGCGCGGGGAGUAUCAUGAUGACGCCGCUGGACCCGCGGCGGAUGAAGAUUUGGCCGCUGACACAGAUAGAACGACGGUUGCUGAUUCCGGAAACGAGGUAGCCGGCGACGGUUUUACUCCGACGGAGAAGAGUAGGACCCCACAUGUGAACAGGUUGUUUUCGCCGCCGCAAGAGCAACAACGUGUGGAAUUGAGGAUUAGUAGGAGUGCCACGCUUACGAUAGUUGACUAUGGCCAUGACGAAGUAGCAAUGUCACCUGAGCCUGAGGAGGGAGAGAUAGAUGGUAGUGGUCGAGUCAUGUUUGGGGAUCAGCUUCAUGUGAUAAAUGGUGAUUUGCUGGAUAGAACAUCAUCAGGAACAGUCCAAGUUUUGACACCUAACAAUCAAGCUAACACACCCCAAUUUUCUGAGGCGUUGCAAUCUGAUACCUUGAAUAAUGAUGCUGUGAUUAGACCCAAUGAUGCAGAGCUUGAAGAAGCAGAUCAAGAUGAGCAUAAGUCUGUAGAUCCAUUGGAUAAAUUUCUUCCUCCUCCGCCCAAAGCUAAAUGCUCAGAGGAGCUACAAAGAAAAAUAAAUAAAUUUCUGGAGUAUAAGAAGGCUGGAAAAAGUUUUAAUGCAGAAGUUCGCAACAGGAAGGACUAUCGAAACCCGGACUUUUUACUGCAUGCUGUGAGGUACCAGGAUAUUGAUCAAAUAGGGUCUUGCUUCAGUAAAGAUGUAUUUGACCCUCAUGGAUAUGAUUCAAGUGACUUCUAUGAUCAAAUAGAAGCUGAUAUGAGGCGAGAAAGUGAUAAGAAAGAGCAAGAGAAGAAGAAAGCACAAAAUCCGAAGGUUGAAUUUGCUUCUGGAGGUACGCAACCAGGAAUUGUGCUUGGUGCUCCCAGGAUCAGCAUGCCCGUUACAGGCGGCUCUGCUGCAACUACAGGUGGUAUGCAAUUGGUGCCUCCUGCUGCAGAUUCUAUUAAUCGCGAUGGUGGUAGGCAGAACAAAAAAUCAAAAUGGGAUAAGUGAAUUAUAGGUGGAUGGUGAUCGAAAAAAUCCUCUGCCCUUGGGCCAGGAUUCUGUAUCUACAGCAGGGGCUCAUGCGGCAAUUUUAUCUGCUGCUAAUGCUGGUAGUGGAUACAUGCUAUUUGCGCAGCAAAAACGACGAGAGGCAGAGGAGAAAAGAUCUAGUGAAAGGAGGUUGGAGAGAAGAUCAUGAUUCAUUCAUUUUGGUCUGUUGUAACAAACAUUUAUGUAAGCGGUGGAUGAGAUACUUCUGCGUUACAUUUUUGCUUGUUUAUUAACUUUGGCAACUAUAAGAGACACUGUAUAUUCUCAAAAAUGAAAAGAAAUUUUUCUGCUUUAA